AUGAGAUGGAUACCUCACGACUCGAUGAAGGCAAAGGAGGUAGCUGACACCCUUCGUUCAUGCGGCAAACUGGUUGACAAGGAGGAGCCUCACAUGUGCUUCUCAUCUCGGGAAGCAAUGUCAAGGUUCGCCACCAGAGAAUUAGGCGUCAGCGGUGCACGAGCAGCCAUUACAAGGAUUCAUGGAAAUGAGACCCCCAACUCCAUGUACAUUGUGGAACAGGUCACCCAACUCAACAAUAACGUGGUGCCAUGCCAUCCUAUGGAUUUUCCAUAUGAGGUCUUUUAUUGCCAUCGGCCGAAAGAGGUGCAGUCUUUGAGGGUGCAACUCAAGGGUUUGAAAGAUGGCAUGCCGCGUGUGACGGCAAUAGCCAUGUGUCACAUGAACACAUCUAAUUGGGACACCCAGUACUUUGAGCUAUUAGAUGGAAAGUGUGGUGAACUUAUUUGCCACUACAUGCCUACCAAUUACAUCAUGUUCUAUUAG
rnacentral:rRNA from 1 species